CACUAAUUGAAAUUGGGUGUGUUUGUCGAGCAGCUGUUCUCCAGAGCUGACUGACAGAGGACCCCAUUUAUGGGAAAAGGAAACAACAGAAGUCCAAGAACAUCAUGACAGCAGCAGAAACCAACUCACUGGAGAUGGCAAGAAAACAGUACACUAGCAGGAGCUGUUUCUUCUGACUCAGCAAUAAAAAGCAGAGCAGUGAAGUACUUCAGGAAUUCAGAUACAUGGUAUGCACAAAGUCAUGCUUUCUGACUGGGAAGGGGACCACAAGUAAAUCCUCCCUGUGCACUCAGAUUGGAACUUGAAUUGAAAAACAUCAAAAUCUGAAUUAUGCAGAGGCUAUACUGCACUAUGGGUAUAGACAGACAUACCCCAGAGUUGUGGCACCCAUUAAGAGAUCGAGCAAGCCCGUGCAGCUGUGUUUUGAUCACUGGAAAGGUUUCCUGGCAUCCAAGAACUAAAAUCACCUUUUGCAUACGACAAGUGCAUCCGAGUAUCUAGCAAGUGAAAAUCAAGGGUUUCUGUCAUCACACCUCAAUGGAGGUUUCUCUGGAUUAAUAAGGAAUUCAGAAACCACAGAGGCAACCAGAGCAUGGGGGUCAUUGUACAUCCUUACAUUUGAAAGCCACUCCAUAGCAUCUGCAAGAGGACUCUUGGCACCUACCUAGUUACAUUGGAUGUCCAGUGUUACUUC